GAAAGAUGGAUUAACAUAAACAAUUAGAAAGAGUUGAAAAUUUCGACUGCAAGAGGAGCUUAAAGAGAUGAUUUUAAACCGCGAAGGGAAGUAAAAGUCGUAACAAGGUCUCCGUUGGUGAACCAGCGGAGGGAUCAUUA
rnacentral:rRNA from 1 species